UUUUACAUUGUAUUGAGACCUCUAUGUCUUCCUACAGAUGGUGUUGGGGAACUCGCCCUGAGGCAGCUGCCAGCCUUGCUUCCACCGACGACUUACAAAGUUGGCCGGGGCCGUGGUGUGAAAGUAGUUCGCCACACCAUUCAGGAAGGCAGCUUGGCCUUCAUUGACCAUAAGCCUCCUGGAAUAAACAUGGUGGAGUACCUUCAUGAGGCCAAGGAAUCCAAGCCAUACCCCCACAUCCUGACACUGGGAAAUGAUCAGAGUGCAUUUCAGGCCUUCGUCAUAAUAGCUGGACAGGCCCUGGAACAAGAAACACUGCUUCAGGCCAUUGAUGUCUGCUUUAAGGCAUUCUUUGUCUUUGAUAUUAAAUACCCAAAGCAGUGUGAACAUGUUUGGGAAUUCAUACAGACUGUUAUAUAUGAAAUCCCAGGAGGGGAGUCUAAAAUCGUUAAGUUUAUUCAAACUAGAAUACUUGCUUGCAAGUAGAGCUAGUGGCUCUUAAAAGCAGCAUUUAGUAUGUGGAAUUAAUUGUUCACUAUAGAGCUGCUGACUGUUGGCCUGCUGAAUGUUAGUUAAAUUGAAAUUGUUGUUUUGCAAUGAAUAUUUUCAACCCUUAGUGAACUGCGCCAGUUUCACUAUAUUGUCAAUAUUAAUGUAAUAAAUGUUUUCAAAGAUUCAA